rnacentral:rRNA from 1 species
UACGAAGGGGGCUAGCGUUGCUCGGAAUCACUGGGCGUAAAGCGCACGUAGGCGGACUCUUAAGUCGGUGGUGAAAUCCUGGAGCUCAACUCCAGAACUGCCUUCGAUACUGAGAGUCUCGAGUCCGAGAGAGGUGAGUGGAACUGCGAGUGUAGAGGUGAAAUUCGUAGAUAUUCGCAAGAACACCAGUGGCGAAGGCGGCUCACUGGCUCGGUACUGACGCUGAAAUACGAAAGCGUGGGGAGCAAACAGGG